CAAAGAGGAACUCAGUCUAAGACCGCCACAUACUACGGCAACGACUGAGUGACCAACACUGUGUUGG
rnacentral:sRNA from 1 species